UACGGGGGGGGCUAGCGUUGUUCGGAAUUACUGGGCGUAAAGGGCGCGUAGGCGGUCUGCUAAGUUGGAUGUGAAAACUCUGGGCUUAACCCAGAGCCUGCAUUCAAUACUGACAGGCUAGAGUUCUGGAGGGGAUAGCGGAAUUCCUGGUGUAGCGGUGAAAUGCGCAGAUAUCAGGAGGAACACCGAUGGCGAAGGCAGGUCUCUGGGCAUUAACUGACGCUGAGGAGCGAAAGCAUGGGGAGCGAACAGG
rnacentral:rRNA from 1 species